UACAGAGGUGCCGAGCGUUAGGCGGAAUCACUGGGCUUAAAGCGUGUGUAUGCGGACGUCUAAGUACCUUGUGAAAUCCCACGGCUCACCCGUGGAACUGCUGGGUAUACUGGGCGUCUUGAGCCACCUAGGGGCCAGCGGAACAAAUGGUGGAGCGGUGAAAUGCGUAGAUAUCAUUUGGAACGCCAACGGUGAAAACAGCUGGCUGGGGGUGUGCUGACGCUGAGACACGAAAGCCAGGGGAGCGAACGGG
rnacentral:rRNA from 1 species